CGAAUCCCGCCCGGCCAAGGUCACGCCCGACCAGCCGGAAGCCAACCUUGCGACGGACCCCGUGAGGGGUUCGGCGAUGCGUAGGCAGGUGAGUGAGCGAGCCGCAGCGUGCCAGCCACGAAAUUCUCCAACGUCCGGGUGCCCAGGGCGUUCUCCCGCCUGAAGGCAACAGCGUCCUACCUCGCAAGGGCGGGAGGGGGACGCACCCGGCGGGGUAGCUGGCUG
rfam:Sorangium cellulosum 'So ce 56' complete genome